GACGUAGGGCGCGAGCGUUGUCCGGAUUUAUUGGGCGUAAAGAGCUCGUAGGCGGCUCGUUGCGUCAACCGUGAAAACCCGGGGCUUAACUUCGGGCUUGCGGUUGAUACGGGCGGGCUGGAGUACGGGAGAGGAGAGUGGAAUUCCCAGUGUAGAGGUGAAAUUCGUAGAUAUUGGGAAGAACACCAGUGGCGAAGGCGGCUCUCUGGACCGUAACUGACGCUGAGGCGCGAAAGCGUGGGGAGCAAACAGG
rnacentral:rRNA from 1 species